GAUGAAAUUGACAAUACAGAAAUCUACCACCUGUUCAAUAAAAUUACUUGUGAAAAUGAUCAUUACACAACCAUCGAAGAUUUGAAAAAAGAGAAGGAAAGACAAUCGAGUGAAUCUUUUUAUACACCAUCAGAACUGACACAAAAUGGCGAUUUUCAUGUG
rnacentral:sRNA from 1 species